rnacentral:lncRNA from 10 species
AGAUCUUAGUUUCUGAGGCAAGUGCUUCAGCCGAGUCUGGAGGUGAUGGAGACGCAGACAUCAUGGAAGGAAUAAGGCCAUGCUGGAGCACUGCCUGCAUGCCAGGGAGGCCAAAUGAGGUGACAGGCAUGGCUAAGAUGAGUCUCUGCACUUGAUGGAUCAGCUGGUGCCAUCCAGAUCGAUAAACUGGCUCAUCCAAUCUCUUGGCCCCCACCCAGGAACUGACUCAGCACAAGAAGACAGCUUAGACUCCCUACGACUUCCUCUCGCAUCCAACCAAUCAGCACUCCUGAGUCACUGGCUGCCCACAGCCCACCAACUUAUCCUUAAAA